UACGUAGGGUGCAAGCGUUGUCCGGAAUUAUUGGGCGUAAAGAGCUCGUAGGCGGUUUGUUGCGUCGGCUGUGAAAUCCCGAGGCUCAACCUCGGGUCUGCAGUCGAUACGAACAAACUAGAGUGUUGCAGGGGAGACUGGAAUUCCCGGUGUAGCGGUGAAAUGCGUAGAGAUCGGGAAGAACAUCGGUGGCGAAAGCGCUCUACUGGGCCAUAACUGACACUCAGGGACGAAAGCUAGGGGAGCGAAUGGG
rnacentral:rRNA from 1 species